rnacentral:misc_RNA from 1 species
GCGGAGGAAAAGGAACCAACAGGGAUUGCCUUAGUAACGGCGAGUGAAGCGGCAACAGCUCAAAUUUGAAAUCUGGCUCCUUCGGGGUCCGAGUUGUAAUUUGCAGAGGAUGCUUCGAGUUAUGGUUCCUUCCGAGUUCCCUGGAACGGGACGCCAUAGAGGGUGAGAGCCCCGUCUGGUAGGAAACCAUGCUCAUGUGAAGCUCCCUCGACGAGUCGAGUAGUUUGGGAAUGCUGCUCUAAGGGGAGGUAUACUCCUUCCAAGGCUAAAUACCGGCUAGAGACCGAUAGCGCACAAGUAGAGUGAUCGAAAGAUGAAAAGUACUUUGAAAAGAGAGUCAAACAGCACGUGAAAUUGUUAAAAGGGAAGCGCUCGCUACCAGACGUGGGUUCGGUGGUUCAACCAGGUCCAUGACCUGGGGCACUCCGCCGGCCCAGGCCAGCAUCAGCUUUCCGUCGGGGGCAAAGGCGUCGGGAAUGUGGCUCUCCUUCGGGGGAGUGUUAUAGCCCGUCGCGUCAUACCCUUCGGGGGGCUGAGGUACGCGCUCCGCAAGGAUGCUGGCGUAAUGGUAGCUAGUGACCCGUCUUGAAACACGGACCAAGGAGUCAACCUUAUGUGCGAGUGCCCGGGCGUAAAACCCCAGCGCGGAAUGAAAGUGAACGUAGGUGAGAGCUUCGGCGCAUCACCGACCGAUCCUGAUGUCCUCGGACGGAUUUGAGUGAGAGCAUAUAGGGUUGGACCCGAAAGAAGAUGAACUAUGCGUGUGUAGGGUGAAUCCAGAGGAAACUCUGGUGGAGGCUCGCAGCGGUUCUGACGUGCAAAUCGA